ACCCCACAGCAGCUCCCAUCUCACUCAGUGUUAAGGCCUCAGUCCCUACAAAAGCCUUCAGUCCCCCCAUGCUCUGUUCCUCUGUCACCCUCGUCUCUGCCGCUGGCCCCCCUUGCUCCUGCUUCAGCCACAGCGGCCUUCUUGCAGGUCCUCAAACACAAGCAGGUACAGCGCAGUCAGCAGGAAGCAGCCGCCGCCCAGGGCAAUGACGAAGGCGCAGCACAGGAAGCUCUGCUGAAGGCUGAGGAAGCGCUGCAGGGUCUGAUGCUUGACCAUCCUGCUAUUACAAGCAAAAAGGAGCCUUUCCAGAAACACUGACACGUUUGCUACAGAACGUUUGGAAAACAGUGAGAAGAACCAAGAGGACAAGCUCACCUCAAGCCCUGCAAAUGGGGAAUUGCAAGGAGGGCAGAGAAGGGAACUCCAGACAAGGGACAGUGUGAGCCAAGGGGCCAGGGCUGCUUGGAGAGAGAAAGUUCCCUUCCUCUGCUCCCAGGAACUCCAACCUGCAGGACCCAGACUGGCUCCUGCUGCCAGUGGCAGGGAGCCCGGGGCAUAACCAGCGCCAAUCAAGGGCCCGCACAAAGUUGGAGUGGCAGUCACCAGGUGCAAACUUCCUGGCAGCCUGCCUCACGCGCCCCACUCAGCCCUCACACCCAGACACCCCUGGGAGGGUGAGACAGACAAGUGAGCAGACGGCUACCUAGGGGCAGAAGGCAGAGCAGGGAAGCAUGGAGAUGCAUGGACGGAGGGAGAACUGAAGGGUGAUGAUCCCCCAGGGAAGGGGGAUCUGCUGAAGAGGUGGGAGGUGAUCCCAGUGGCAGGAUUCCAGCAACCCAAAAUACAGACCUGGGAGAGGGAGCCAGUCCCCCUUCUGCCCGACUCCCCACACCUGGGGGUGGGUAAACUAGAGGGGGGCCCAGAGAGACAGGAGGGUGGGAAGGGAGCUGGAGACCCCAUCAGUGGGUUGAGGGAGAUGGUGAGCUCAUUUGGGGAUACACAGUCUCCAGUCUUGCAGGGAACAAGGCCAUCUGAGUCCCAGCCGAACUAGUGGGGAGGUCGCAGACAAGAGUCUGAAGUGGGUCUUGGCUGUGAUAAGCCAAGAUCCUUUUUAUUAACCGAGCCACCAGGAGGCAGGGGUUUCCCAGGAUGCGAGGAGUGAGCUGCCCAUCAGAGGGGUAUGUAAACAAGGGGGUGGACAGCACUGGUCAGAAUUUUGCAGAGGGUUCAUGAGCUGGAAAGCUGGCUGCACUAGAAUAGCAUCCUCCAGUGCAUUCUGAGGAGCAGCUCCAGCAGGAUCACGCAGGACAAUUCAAGAGCAAUGCAGAUCCCUGGGCCCCAACACAGACAUGACUGAAUCAGACUCUGAGGACAGAGGGCCAGGAAAGUGAAUUUAUAAUGGAAGUGAAGUGAAAAUGUUAGUCACUCAGUCAUAUCAACUCUUUGUGACCCCAUGG